CGAAAAUUCGGGGUAGUGGCGGACGGGUGAGUAACACGUGGGAACGUGCCUUUAGGUUCGGAAUAGCUCCUGGAAACGGGUGGUAAUGCCGAAUGUGCCCUUCGGGGGAAAGAUUUAUCGCCUUUAGAGCGGCCCGCGUCUGAUUAGCUAGUUGGUGAGGUAAUGGCUCACCAAGGCGACGAUCAGUAGCUGGUCUGAGAGGAUGAUCAGCCACAUUGGGACUGAGACACGGCCCAAACUCCUACGGGAGGCAGCAGUGGGGAAUCUUGCGCAAUGGGCGAAAGCCUGACGCAGCCAUGCCGCGUGAAUGAUGAAGGUCUUAGGAUUGUAAAAUUCUUUCACCGGGGACGAUAAUGACGGUACCCGGAGAAGAAGCCCCGGCUAACUUCGUGCCAGCAGCCGCGGUAAUACGAAGGGGGCUAGCGUUGCUCGGAAUUACUGGGCGUAAAGGGCGCGUAGGCGGAUCGUUAAGUCAGAGGUGAAAUCCCAGGGCUCAACCCUGGAACUGCCUUUGAUACUGGCGAUCUUGAGUGUGAGAGAGGUAUGUGGAACUCCGAGUGUAGAGGUGAAUUCGUAAAUAUUCCGGAAGAACACCAGUGGCGAAAGGCGACAAUACUGGGCUCAUUACUG
rnacentral:rRNA from 1 species